UGCCUGACGUAGACGCUAUUCCCUAAGAUUAACCCAUGCAUGUUUUUGAAGAUUAUUAUCUGAAAAAUGGACUGCUCAGUAAUACUCACUUUAUUUUAUGUGCACCGCAGAUAACUACGUUAAAGUGUAGAUAACAUGUGUACAGUAAGAGUGAGACCUAUCAGCUAGUUGUUAAGGUAAUGGCUUAACGAGGCAGUGACGGGUAACGGUAUUACUUUGUAAUAUUCCGGAGAAGGAGCCUGAGAGACGGCUACUAAGUCUAAGGAUUGCAGCAGGGGCGAAACUUGACCUAUGGAUUUUAUCUGAGGCAGUUAUGGGAAGUAAUAUAUUAUUGUUUCAAAUUUUAAAAAUAUAUGAGGUGAUUAAUUGGAGGGCAAAUAAAGUGCCAGCAGCCGCGGUAAUACUUGUUCCAAGAGUGUGUAUG
rnacentral:rRNA from 1 species